rnacentral:rRNA from 1 species
GAUGAACGCUGGCGGCGUGCCUAAUACAUGCCAGUCGAGCGAACAGACGAGGAGCUUGCUCCUCUGACGUUAGCGGCGGACGGGUGAGUAACACGUGGAUAACCUACCUAUAAGACUGGGAUGACUUCGGGAAACCGGAGCUAAUACCGGAUAAUAUAUUGAACCGCAUGGUUCAAUAGUGAAAGACGGUUUUGCUGUCACUUAUAGAUGGAUCCGCGCCGCAUUAGCUAGUUGGUAAGGUAACGGCUUACCAAGGCAACGAUGCGUAGCCGACCUGAGAGGGUGAUCGGCCACACUGGAACUGAGACACGGUCCAGACUCCUACGGGAGGCAGCAGUAGGGAAUCUUCCGCAAUGGGCGAAAGCCUGACGGAGCAACGCCGCGUGAGUGAUGAAGGUCUUCGGAUCGUAAAACUCUGUUAUUAGGGAAGAACAAAUGUGUAAGUAACUAUGCACGUCUUGACGGUACCUAAUCAGAAAGCCACGGCUAACUACGUG